CUUAUAGAUAGCAGUAAAAUUGAUUUCCCCCCCACCUCCUCUUUAUGAAUUCUUAGCCCAAAGACUGAAAAAUCUCUGAUGCCUCCUGGGAACUAUUUCUAAUUUUAAGCGGCAGCACCCCAUGUGUGGAGCAGCCUCCAAAAUGUGCUCCCUAGUGACCUGCUACAGUGCUGAAUUACUUGUUCCUCCUUGUCUAUUUUCAAUGCUGGAAGAUAAGUCAGAAAACGGGCAAACAUUCAGAAUGUGUGAAAUCUGCCUGAAGGUCAAAAAGAGAAGAGGGGCUAAGGUGGAGGAACCAAACCAUGGAGAGCGUAAAGGAUUUGCCCAAAGGAUCAGCAAUUCAUUUUAAAGCAAGGAGUCCUCAUCUACCUAUCCACCAGACAUUCAUCUUGUCCCGUGAACUUCCAUCUAGAUGAGUUGCUGCUGUUUUACAAAAUUAUAUGUGUCUAUACAAAUAUACAUAUAUAUGUUUCCCAAAGUAAGAAGAAAAGAAAGAACAGACCUUUACCUCUUUUUGCUGAGCCUGGACAGGUAGAGAGAGGAACAGGUAAAGUUGACUGAAGGGUGGGUGAGCUUUAGCACAGCGCUUUGGUCUUGCUAGAGCCCACCUCUGUGUCAGUGUUGGGCUCCCAGAAGAGAUCUGUGUCUGAGGGAGGACACUCUGGACAGGGUGAGCAAACCCCAGUCAGCUCCCAGGAGCUCUGCCUCCUGCUGUGGUCUGACACUGGCUCACUGGCUGGAGAUCCCCUCUAGCCUGGAGGACUGAUGCUGGGGGAGACCAGCUCCUGAGCUGUUCCUGACAUGCACUGGCAGCUGUCUGCCUGCUACUCUUUUAAAGGGUCUUUGUGAAUCAGGAUAAAAAUGUGACCUUACGCAGGCGGCAUUGUGAGCGCAGCUUGGCUCAGGUUCAGCUCUUCCUCUGGCUCCCAGCUACUCUAUUUUUAUUGAAGGAAUUUUGAGGCUAUCAGAAAGGAAGUCAAAUUGUUUUAGGAAAACAAUAGAAAAGCAACUUGAAGUUUAUUAGCUUCCUGCCCAGGGUCUGGGACCAACUUGUCAAACUUAUUAGAGCGAUGGUGGGACUAUUUAUUUAAAAGGGCUAGCAACAAGACUCACAAUUUCAUUCCUGUUUAGGCCUUGGUGGAAACAAAGGAAGGCCAUAAAAUAAUAUCUGAAGGGAGCAGAUGGCUAACUGGUAAAUGGUGUGAAUAAGGUUGGCCUGUGAGACACUGGUGGUGGUCACCAGUGCAGUGGCUUUUGUGGGAUUUUGUUAUCGACCGAAUGCCCAGGCUUGCAUUCAUAGGCCAGUCCCAUCACCCCAAAUUCCUUACUGUGGCUCGAAUUUUCAGAUGGAAGCCUCACACCUAAGAAAACAAAUUUGGCAGGAAAAGGUCUGUGUUUUAGAGCUACUGAAAGGAGCAAGACAAUGCAGCAGGUUUGCAGAAGAGACAGGAAUAGAGCCCAGGUGUCCCUGAUCCCGCUGGACUGCUGGAGCCCCCCGACUGCAAAAAAUAUUUAUAUCCUUCAGAAGCAGCUGCAGUCUGCUUCCCCAUCCAGCUACCCCAAAGUAGCAGCACCAUUAAGUCAUUGCAUACAUGCUGGCAUGUGGCUGGUGAGAAGAAUGGACAGCCAAACCAUCAGACUCACGAGCAGAAAGUGUCUGUGCUGCCCAAGCCCUUCUAAGGAGUUUCAUCGUUUGCAAGGAAACAAGAAGAGAAUAAAACAGGGGGAAGAGAAAUCAGGACCUGAAUCUACUCUGAAGGCCAAGAUCUCUUGAGCUUUCCCUGGAAGUCAGCUUCAAAGGAAGAAACAGUUAAAAGGAUUUGAGAAAAGAGAGACAUGUGCCUGAAUGGUGGCAAGCAGCUUGCAGAGAAACACUUGGAAGAGUCCUCUUUAUGGGUUUGAACUCUAAGGAUCCCUGAAUAUAAAACAAUAAGCAACAAUUGAGCAGACUUAAAGUUUGACAGAGGCUGAGACUGUGCAUGUGGAAGAAUCUGAGGCACAAUGAAACUUCCUGAGAACAGCCCUGGAAGGAUGAGCGCUGGUGCAGAUGGAGGCUGGGACGUCAAGAGGUGCCAGCAGAGGCUCUGAGCCUUUGCACACAGCCAGAGUGACCAGAAUUCUACUCAAGGCUGGGAAACAAGACUUCUUAGAGCAUCAUGCCUUUCAAAGCAUUACCAGUUUGGACCUCCUUCUGCUUUCAUGUAACAGUUGGGUGGGGAUCAGUAAACCUGCUACCAGCCUCUCAUUUCUGCCACCAGUUUACCCAUCCAGAGAAGCGAACCUCGGCAUCCCGGCGCUGCCGGCGCAUGAAUGAGAAAACAUCGCCCGCUAGUGGCUCGGGCCGCGGGAGCUGCUGCUCUGCUGCUGCUGCUCCAGCAUCUGUGCUGGGACAAGGGACAAGGCGGGUGGCUCUCCUUCCUCCUGCCCUCGGAUAAAAUCAGCAUCUCUCUGGAAAAGGUUGUCUCUGAGCUGAGCGAGAAAAGAGGCUCUGAAUGGAAGCGCUGUGAGUCGCCUGCAGGCUGUUUGUUACGUUUAGUGUCAAUGUCCAGGAGAAACACUCUGGAUAAGCCACGACAUCCAAUCUUACGCUUAAUACAGUAACAGAACAAAUUGGUUGAGAUGUGGCUAUGGUGAGCAAGCACCUCUAAAGCUGCAGCACAUUCAGAGCUGUCACUGAAGCCACAGAACAAAGCUGUGAACACUCCUGAAGGUUCCCUGAGGACAGACCUCCUUACAGGGCUUUGAAGGUACCAGGGGUGAUCUAGGGGCAGCACGGGAAGCAGUACAGCACCACCGUGCUCCAUACUGCCCCAGCUAAUUAGGCCCACUCCGGAGGAGAUAAUUAACUCAAGUGGAAUUCUUCACUGGCACAGCCAACUUACUCCCAGACCUAAGCUGGUAUCUCCCCAGUUCAGCACUGUACUGGGUGGUGCAGACAACCUGUGAUGUCCAGGCUGAGUUUUCAGGACUGGUGGCAAGAUACUAUUUUUUUUUUUUCCAACUGAAAAUAUUUUUCUGAGAUUUCUCUAGGUCUUUGGCCCUAUACGAAACUGUAGAGACCAAAGGCCUCAGCCUCCCUCUCCCCCCAGUUGUUUUUCUGCUUACGAGGUAAGAUCAUCCUUAACAGAUGUUUGUUUACCUCUUCAUAAAAACCUCCUGUGAUUCUGCAGCCUCCCCAAGCAGUCUACUGCAGUGCUUUGCUAUUCUUGCCAUUGCAAAGUGUUUUUCUAAUGUUUAGCUAUAUCAUUUUUAUUGCAAAUUAAGCUGAUUAUUUCCUCUUCUACUUUUGGUGAAUGUAGGGGACAACUGUUUAGUCUCUCCACCCAUUAUAACAAAUGUUUAUGUGCUGGAAGACUGUUAUCAUGCCUCCCCUCCUGUUGUUCUUUUCCUAGAGAAAACAAACUCGGUUAUUUUAUCCAUUCCUUAUAAGUAAUGGGUUUUUUUCACAUCUCUUAUCAUUUUGUUGUUCUCUUUUUGGACUCUCUCCAGUGUGUCUGUAUCUCCUGUAAAAUGUAGAGCCUGGAACCGGACACACUGUUCCUGCUGAGAGCUCAGCAGUAUCAAGUAAAUGCACAAAAUAAUUGCUUCCUUUGCCUUAUACAAAAAAUUUCCAUUAAAGCAUCUCAGAACGAGAUUUGUCUUCUUCUGUGGGAAUCUCACUUAACAGACUCAUAUUGGGUCAAACCCCAUCUCCUCUUUGCUGCGCUGCUGCCAAAACAGUUACAGUUUAGUUUGGACCAGCACAUUUGGUGUCUGUGCAGUCACCUUUCCUGAACUGUUCCUUGGUGCAGUCACCUCUGCAGAGGGCAGAGCACAGCUCUCCAGUGCCUCACGUUCCUCUCAAAUUCUGACUGCUCCAGCCCCCUGUCUUCAGGAGGGAGUGCUGCCCCGCCAGCCCAGCUGUCAUCCUCUUGGUUUUGUCCUCUAGGCUGUUGUCCGAAACACUCAAGGAAAUACUGAGAAGCCCUGGAGGCAAAACUUCAGGGACAUGAACCUCCCAGCUGGAAAAGUGAAGCCCUGAUAAUUACCCUUGAUAAUGGUACUUCAA